rnacentral:rRNA from 1 species
GCAAGUCGAGCGAGAAAGCACUUCGGUGCGAGUACAGCGGCGGACGGGUGAGUAACGCGUAGGAAUCUACCUGGCAGUGGGGGACAACAGUCGGAAACGGCUGCUAAUACCGCAUACGCCCUAUGGGGGAAAGUGGGGGACCUUCGGGCCUCACGCUAUCGGAUGAGCCUGCGUAGGAUUAGCUAGUUGGUGAGGUAAAGGCUCACCAAGGCGACGAUCCUUAGCUGGUCUGAGAGGAUGAUC